AUUGAACGCUGGCGGCAGGCCUAACACAUGCAAGUCGAACGAGUGGCGGACGGGUGAGUAAUGUCUGGGAAACUGCCUGAUGGAGGGGGAUAACUACUGGAAACGGUAGCUAAUACCGCAUACCAUCGGAUGUGCCCAGAUGGGAUUAGCUAGUAGGUGGGGUAAAGUCUGACGUAGGCGACGAUCCCUAGCUGGUCUGAGAGGAUGACCAGCCGAACUGGAACUGAGAGACGGUCCAGACUCCGACGGGAGGCAGCAGUGGGGAAGAUUGAAAAAUGGGAGCAAGCCCGAUGCAGCCAUGCCGCGUGUAUGAAGAAGGCCUGCGGGUUGUAAAGUACUUGCAGCGGGGAGGCGUUACCCGGAGAAGAAGCACCGUCUAACUCCGUGCCAGCAGCCGCGGUAAUAC
rnacentral:rRNA from 1 species